rnacentral:ncRNA from 2 species
AAGGGAACUGGGUGUGAAUCCCAGGCGGGCGCGCCGCUGUAAGCGGGGACGAAGGCCGCAGAAAAGCCACUGUGGGAACUAUCAAACUCUCACGGGAAGGCGCGGCUGGCAGAAUGAUCCGUGAGCCAGAAAACCU